CGGUAAUACCAGCUCUCCGAGUGGUGUGGACGUUUAUUGGGCCUAAAGCAUCCGUAGCUGGCUGGACAAGUCCCCUGUUAAACCCACCGAUUUAAUCGUUGGCUUGCGGGGGAUACUGCUCGGCUAGGGGACGAGAGAGGCAGACGGUAUUCCCGGGGUAGGGGUGAAAUCCUAUAAUCCCGAGAAGACCACCAGUGGCGAAGGCUGUCGG
rnacentral:rRNA from 1 species